CCUAGUGGUGAUAGCGGGGGGGGAACACCCGUUCCCAUCCCGAACACGGAAGUUAAGCCCUCCAGCGCCGAUGGUAGUUGGGGCCAGCGCCCCUGCAAGAGUAGGUCGUUGCUAGGC
rnacentral:rRNA from 1 species